GCCGUUCCUGCGCGCAGCCUGAUCAGCAUGCCGCGUGAGUGAUGAAGGCCUUCGGGUUGUAAACCUCUUUUGUCAGGGAAGAAACGGUCGGGGCUAAUAUCCCAGGCUACUGACGGUUCCUGAACAAUAAGCCCCGGCUAACUACAUGCCAGCAGCCGCGGUAAUAA
rnacentral:rRNA from 1 species